ensembl:lncRNA
AGACACUGCUUUUUCAUGUAUAAAAGAUAAGUUAUUUUUACUUUACAGGUUUUUGACAUGACAAAGCAUAUCAGAGUUUAUGAUAACACCAGCCAAUAUCUGACAAUACACAACCGUGACAUGGAAAUUCUGAAAGAUGCUUUAAGAAAUAUUGCAUCCUUGGACGACUGGACUGUGUCUAGUCCACAGCAAUGGCAGAGAGACAAUGGAAGGAACUGUGGUGUUUUCGUAUGCACAGUGAGUUAACUGUAUUAUGUUAAUGUUGUUAAAUAUGUAUUCUCUAAUAUAAUACAUGUUUGAUGUAUAUAACUAAUUCUGUUAAAUAAUUUUUUGAGAAGAUGGCAGAGAUGGAAGCUAAAAGUUUUAAAAUGUGCCAGGAAAUUCUGCACACUGAACAGAUGGGAUCCCUUCGUCUUUACCAUGCCUCAUGCAUGGUGAAACAUCUGCAACCAGAGGUAACCCUUGAAAUUCAAAAGGUUUACAGUUUACAGAGUAUGCAAAGCUCAACAUGAAAGUUUAUCCUAGGACUUUUCACCCGAAGUCAAAAUAGUCCAGAGUGCAACACAGACCAGCUGUAUGGCCCAGGAUGUACUGUAGGAGUUUGCAUUUAUCAAAAAUAUUGAUCAAAGUAUGUGAUGACUGUUUAAUUUCCUUAUGAACUACAAUUUGAUUAAGCAGUUACACUCAUUGUUAUCAUUUAUCUGUAUGCAGAGUAAUGCACCCACGAAUCCAGUCGCUGGACUGGAUUCAAUGUGACCUUUGCAAAAAAUGGCUGCAUUCUGACUGCGCUGGUAUCAGUCUUGAAACGAUCACAGAGGAAACAGCAUUCAGUUGUGGAUGUGACACUAACCAUGUGCAUACCUUUGAGAAAACAUUGGCACUACUGAAGAAGGGCUGGUUGGUUGACCUUGUAAUACAGGAUCAAGAAGUCUUGAGAUUGCACGAAGGCUUGAGAUCCGAUCCAGCAGGAUGUUUUUAUUUAAACAUCCCACAUUUUCUCCAAAGCUGAGGAUGAAACUUAGCAAAAAGUUUUUGUUUUUUUUUGAGGAAGAACAGUUAUUUCAUACUGUUUGCCUUGUUUAACAAUUUAUAGUUAAAAUAAGUUUAUGUUAUGCCUUAAGAACAGAAGACUGUACAGAUGCAUAAGAAAGUAUAUAUCAGAUGUUAUUUUAACAUCUCAUAUUUCAUUGGAAUGUAUUCUGUCAAUGUAGAUUUUCUACAGAAAAAUUAGAGAAUUAUGAAUGUAAUUACGAAUGUUAUUGUGUACAAAUUUAACAAAUGUUUUGCUACAGACAGAGAGGAUAAUUGAAAGAAUAUACACAGUAACACAGCUGCCUAGGGUUUCCCUGGACAACACAUCUUACGUUCUUGAAGUUUUGACCCCUGAGGUAUAUAUACAUACACUUUGAUACAGUACAUGGGACAAUAUCAUUAAACACACUGUACAUAUAUCUUUCAUAAUUGUAUCUUCUUCUUUUUUUUAAAGCUAACACUGUUAAUGCUGUAAAAGACUGAGGGCUUUCACAGGUUACAGGCAGAAAUGGCUUUACAGUCAAACAUUGCUUUGGAGUAAGUCUUUCUUUUACUGUUGUUUUUUCAUUCAUCCUUAAAACAUGUCUGAAAAGCUUAUAUCCGUGUUUUAUUUCUCUUUUAAAGGGUCAAAUGUUUAAAUCCACCAUGGUUUUGAUGGCACUUCAUCAGUAGGAGUGUAAUCCUGUAUGAAGAGGGUGGCCCGCUGAACAACUGUACUUUAGGCCAAAAGUUCUUGUAGCCCUGUCUAGUAGCCCUGUCCCCAUAUUCUUUCACAUUUCUCCUAGUAGUUUAAGAUCAAUAAUAUCACUGACAUUGAAGACUGUAUGUAAACAUUGUUAUUGAAAUAUUGAUUUAGAUACAGUACCAGUCAAAAUUUUGGACACAUUACUACUAGUCUCUUAUUAUCAUCAAGCCUGCUCAAAGCCAAUUUGAUCAAAAAUACUGAAAGCCCAGUAAUAUUGUGAAAUAUUACAAUUAAAAAUAAUAGCUUUCUAAUUUAAUAUUCUUUAAAAUAUAAAUUUUUUCAUGAUCAAAGCUGAAUUUUCACCAACCAUUACUCCAGUCUUCAGUGUCACAUGAUCCUUCAGAAAUCAUUCUAUGAUGAUUUGCUGCUAUUAUCUGUAUUGGAAACAGUUGUGCUGCUUAAUAUUAUUAUUUGUUUUGUGUGAUACUUUUUCAGGAUUCAAUGAUCAAUAAAAAGUUAAAAAGAACAGCA